rnacentral:rRNA from 1 species
UACAGAGGGUGCAAGCGUUGUUCGGAAUUACUGGGCGUAAAGCGCGUGUAGGCGGUUUGGUAAGUCCUGUGUGAAAGCCCUGGGCUCAACCCAGGAAGUGCGCAGGAUACUGCCUGACUGGAGUGACGGAGAGGAUGGCGGAAUUCCCGGUGUAGAGGUGAAAUUCGUAGAUAUCGAGAGGAACAUCGGUGGCGAAGGCGGCCUUCUGGACGGUGACUGACGCUGAGAUGCGAAAGCGUGGGGAGCAAACAGG